rnacentral:rRNA from 1 species
AUUGAACGCUGGCGGCAGGCCUAACACAUGCAAGUCGAGCGAGCGGCGGACGGGUGAGUAAUGUAUGGGGACUGCCCGAUAGAGGGGGAUAACUACUGGAAACGGUGGCUAAUACCGCAUACUGUCGGAUAACCCAUAUGGGAUUAGCUAGUGGGUAAGGUAAUGGCUUACCUAGGCGACGAUCCCUAGCUGGUCUGAGAGGAUGAUCAGCAAAAUGGGGACGGAGACACGCCCCAGACUCCUACGGAGGCAGCAGGGGGGAAUAUUCGACAAUGGGCGAAAGCUGGAGGCAGCCAUGCGGGGUGUAUGAAGAAGGCUCUAGGGUUGUAAAGUAUUUUCAGCCGGGAGGCGUUACCGAAAGAAGAAGCACCGGCUAACUACGUGCCAGCAGCCGCGGUAAUAC